CCUCUAAUGAGGGCUUGAGUCUUUUUUUUUCCUUCUGGGAGAGAGCCUUAUCUCAGGAAAUGUGUUUUGAAAUUCUGUGUGGUGAACUCUGGGUUUUAAUCUUGCCUCUAAAGCCCAUUGGAGAGUGAUGGCAUCUACAAACCUUGAACUUGAGCUGAAGUGCAGCAGCAUUGCACAGGCUGAAGUUGACACAGAAAAGAGACCAUCUAUUCUGUGCAGCUGUAAAUAGGACACCAUGAACAAACGUGGAAGCCUAAGGACCUGCUAGGACUGUGCUUCGAGACUCUGACACAGAACAACCUAAACUGUUUGGUGACUUCCCGCAAUGGACUCGUCUCAAAACUGUGAGAAGUGGGAUGGUGCCACACCAAUAUCAAAGCGCAAAAUGAAUUCCUCCAAUUUGAAAAACAUUUUUUUAAAAUUAUUUUUAUCCCUUUUUCUUAAUGGUGGAUGCUCCUUCUACCUGCCUCCAACCUUCUUAACAGGACCGCAGUCCAAGCUGUGUGAGGAAGCGUAAACUGAUGUCCAAUCAUGGCUUGAAAUGUGAAUUCAAAUGUUUUAAUUAUUGAAUUUAGACAAAUAUUUUUAUAUAUGUAGUUAUAAAUUAUAUACUAACAAUGUAAUUACCAAUCUACCCAC